rnacentral:rRNA from 1 species
AGAGUUUGAUCCUGGCUCAGAUUGAACGCUGGCGGCAUGCCUAACACAUGCAAGUCGAACGGCAGCACAGUCGUAGCAAUACGAUGGGUGGCGAGUGGCGGACGGGUGAGGAAUACAUCGGGACCUGCCCAGACGUGGGGGAUAACGUAGGGAAACUUACGCUAAUACCGCAUACGUCCUACGGGAGAAAGCGGGGGAUCUUCGGACCUCGCGCGGUUGGAUGGACCGAUGUUCGAUUAGCUAGUUGGUGGGGUAAAGGCUCACCAAGGCGACGAUCGAUAGCUGGUCUGAGAGGAUGAUCAGCCACACUGGGACUGAGACACGGCCCAGACUCCUACGGGAGGCAGCAGUGGGGAAUAUUGGACAAUGGGCGCAAGCCUGAUCCAGCAAUGCCGCGUGUGUGAAGAAGGCCUUCGGGUUGUAAAGCACUUUUAUCAGGAGCGAAAUACCACGGGUUAAUACCCUAUGGGGCUGACGGUACCUGAGGAAUAAGCACCGGCUAACUUCGUGCCAGCAGCCGCGGUAAUACGAAGGGUGCAAGCGUUAAUCGGAAUUACUGGGCGUAAAGCGUGCGUAGGCGGUGAUUUAAGUCUGCUGUGAGAUCCCCGGGCUCAACCUGGGAAUGGCAGUGGAUACUGGAUCGCUAGAGUGUGAUAGAGGAUGGUGGAAUUCCCGGUGUAGCGGUGAAAUGCGUAGAGAUCGGGAGGAACAUCAGUGGCGAAGGCGGCCAUCUGGAUCAACACUGACGCUGAGGCACGAAAGCGUGGGGAGCAAACAGGAUUAGAUACCCCAGUAGUCC